AUAUAUAUAUAUAUAUAUAUAUUAGCAUAAUAUAUGUCAUACGUAUUUACUAAGUAUAUGUAAAACUAUAUUAUAUUAAUAGAAUUUGUUAACAUAUGAAAUCACUGCACCUUAUAUAUAUAGAUAUAUUACUAUAUUAUAUUAAUAUCACAUAUUAUCUUACCUUUUCUCAUUCCAACAACUUGUUUUUCCUUUUAAUACCCACAUCCACCGUAACUUCCUUUUUCUUUUAACUCUCUCUUCUCCUUUUAUUUUAUAAAACCUUAUAUAUUCCAUCCCAUGGAUAAACAACCUGUGCACACCCAUCCUCCCAUCCCUUUUCAUCCUCAUUGUUGAUAGACCCAACCACUCAAGCUUUCUUUAUUUCUUUUCACAGUAACCAAAAUCUAUCACUUCCUCCUUAUGAAAUGUCACAUAAUAUUUCCCCAAAGCUACACUAUAACCACAUUUACUUUCAGAUAAUCCCACGGAAACUAUCACACCCAAUCUCUUGAGUUAACCUGACGCAACACUAUGGUUAAGCCAUACAAACUUCUUCCCCUAAAAUCAACAACUUAACAUUUCUUUCACUGGUGCACACAAACUUAUAACCUCUUCCUAAUACACUCCAUAAACAUAGACUUUCACUACCUCCCUUUUAUUUUUCUACUGCAACACAGCAACCCUUUUUUUUUCCUCUAGCAACUUCACCCUAUAAUUGUACCACCAAUCUCCCCACUUAAUUUUUUUUAACCUCUACGUAGGAGAAAGGAAACCCAUUUUUCUUUCUAUAUUCUCUAACCUAAAACCCUCCCUACUCUCUUUUUUUAAUCCAUUUUCACAUAACUACCUACUCUCUACUACAUCUCCUCAUCCACAUAAAACACUAACCACUUCUAUCAUAAAAUACAUUUUCUCCCUUUACCCCUCAGGUUAAUACUUCCACUAAACACAACCCAAGUAUAUAUUUUCUCACUAAAAUUUGGUCUAAUAGUCUCCACACGUGUAACUACUUCAAAGAGUGAAUUAUUUCAGUCAAUCAAUACACCCAACAUAACAUACAACACAUCACAUUAUAGUUCAUCCAACUCAGUACCUGUUGAAAGGCUUUUUGGUCGCACAAAAAGACAACAAACCCUAGUCCCCACUAAUGUAGUAUAGGGCAACCAUGGAAUCAAUCCACAGACUCGACAAAAUUAAGUUUUAAGAAUGUAAGGUUAGUUCUUGUAUUUUAUUUAUUUACUAAAUAGGUGGGGACAAAGAAAUCUAACUAAAAAGGAAAAAAAAUAAAACUAAAAUCUAUUUUUGAAUAAGAAAUAAUAUGAAAUAAAAGGAAAGUAAAACUAUAUAGAAAUCUAAACAACCUAAGAUAGAAACAGUAACAAAAGCUAAUAUGAAAUUUUAAAUGAAACUAAAACCAAUGAAUCUGGAUAUGCAAAUUAAAGAAAUCUAGUGCUCAAUAUAUGAAAACAAUGAACAAAUGAAUCUCCUAAUUGUAUGCGUAUUCUAGAAAUGUAAAUGUAAAUGCAAAGACUAGAUAAUCACAUAACAGAACCAAAUGGAAAGUAAAGUAAAAAUCACAAUCAGACCUAAGACUAUUCAACAUCAAUUCAACACAAAUAUUAAAAAUAAAGAAACAAACUGAAGAUAUUAGGCAAAAUCAAAGAACAAAAUCAAAGAACAUAGACAAAAGUGCACUAGAUUGAAUGAAAGAGUCUCAAUUAC
rnacentral:lncRNA from 1 species